UCUCGGCAAAUUAUCCUCAUAAGUUCGACGACAAGAGGAACCACUUUUUUAGAAUAGUAUCUCCAUUACAAAAUAUUAUUCUCUUAUGUGGUGGCACAAAAUCGGAAGCCCCGACUGUUUACUAAAAACACAACUAUCUGCAAUGAUGUAAAUCAUAGUAUAGGUAGUGAGGUUUGCCCGAUGCCAUUAAUAUAAGAGAGGUAAUGGGUAACUGUUACUAAUCGAAAGUCUGGUUAAUAGCGGUCUUAACUAUGAGGAUCCAAAGGUAGCAAAAUAAAUUGGCCAUUAAAUGUGGUCCGGUAUCAAUAAUUUAACGAUGGCUUCACUGUCUCUACAACUUGCUCAGUGAAAUUGAAUUACCCGUGCAGAUGCGGGUUGCCUCCAGGGGGACGGGAAGACCCUAUGC
rnacentral:rRNA from 1 species